ACCAACCUGGGGUGUACGACAACCCUGUUAUUUUGAACCUACAUUGAUUAAAAAGGGAUUCCAAUAUUUCUGUAUAAUAUGUCAGGCCUCCGAUGUAUGCAGUGGACGACAGAAAGGCAGGAUGAGGUUGCCCACCUAGCUGUGGCUAGGACUCAAAAUACAGGGACCGGCAUUUUGGGGGUU
rnacentral:other from 5 species